AGUGAACGCUGGCGGUAGGCCUAACACAUGCAAGUCGAACGGCAGCACAGUAAGAGCUUGCUCUUACGGGUGGCGAGUGGCGGACGGGUGAGGAAUACAUCGGAAUCUACUUUUUCGUGGGGGAUAACGUAGGGAAACUUACGCUAAUACCGCAUACGACCUACGGGUGAAAGCAGGGGAUCUUCGGACCUUGCGCGAUUGAAUGAGCCGAUGUGGGAUUAGCUAGUUGGCGGGGUAAAGGCCCACCAAGGCGACGAUCCGUAGAUGGUCUGAGCGGAUGAUCAGCCACACUGGAACUGAGACACGGUCCAGACUCCUACGGGAGGCAGCAGUGGGGAAUAUUGGACAAUGGGCGCAAGCCUGAUCCAGCCAUACCGCGUGGGUGAAGAAGGCCUUCGGGUUGUAAAGCCCUUUUGUUGGGAAAGAAAAGCAGCAGGUUAAUACCCCGCUGUUCUGACGGUACCCAAAGAAUAAGCACCGGCUAACUUCGUG
rnacentral:rRNA from 1 species